rnacentral:antisense_RNA from 1 species
AAGAAGCAGUCUUGGACCUUCAUCUUCAGAGAAUGUCACGAGGAACAGAGAUAAGCCACCCCUGCUGAGCCCUGCCCAAUCUGCAGAUUCGCACUGGGGAAACUCUUUUUCUCCUUACUCCUGGAGAUUCUGAUUUCACUGUGCGACCUGAUGGGGAGUUGCCAGGAGAAGGACUGCGUCGGCCUUUGGAAGCUGGUGAAGCCGCACUUGCCUGGACCUCUCCUGGAGACUCAGCUGCUAAGUGAUUCAUUUCAGAUCCAUCUCCUUUAACUGGGAUUGGUUUUACCACCUGAAUCAAAGUAUUCCAAUAUUUUGAUUACUUAAAAAUAUAAAAGGAAUACCCUUUGCCAUCUCAAUAUGGCUUCAAUGAAGAAUUUCCUACCACCAUUCUAUGGCAGUUAGCUGCUCUCCCCCUGCAUGAAGGUAACAAUGUUGACUAGCAACAUCUAGAAUAUGAAGACUGCUGUACAAGGCUGCUUCUGCUGGUAAUGAGGGAGGGAAGAAGCUCUAGCCAGAAGACAAAGGAGGCUUCAACUGUUUCUUUAAUAUUAGUUCCUUUAAAAAAUACACAUCCAACUGCACUGCAGCAAGUACAAUAAAAUAUUAACAUUUAUUAAAUACA